rnacentral:rRNA from 1 species
GAUGAACGCUGGCGGCGUGCCUAAUACAUGCAAGUCGAGCGAACAGACGAGGAGCUUGCUCCUCUGACGUUAGCGGCGGACGGGUGAGUAACACGUGGAUAACCUACCUAUAAGACUGGGAUAACUUCGGGAAACCGGAGCUAAUACCGGAUAAUAUAUUGAACCGCAUGGUUCAAUAGUGAAAGACGGUUUUGCUGUCACUUAUAGAUGGAUCCGCGCCGCAUUAGCUAGUUGGUAAGGUAACGGCUUACCAAGGCAACGAUGCGUAGCCGACCUGAGAGGGUGAUCGGCCACACUGGAACUGGGACACGGUCCAGACUCCUACGGGAGGCAGCAGUAGGGAAUCUUCCGCAAUGGGCGAAAGCCUGACGGAGCAACGCCGCGUGAGUGAUGAAGGUCUUCGGAUCGUAAAACUCUGUUAUUAGGGAAGAACAAAUGUGUAAGUAACUAUGCACGUCUUGACGGUACCUAAUCAGAAAGCCACGGCUAAUUACGUG